CACAAGGGAUAGUCUGUUUGGGGGAAUUUCAGGGGUGGAAAAAAGAUGCUACAGAGUGGGGUUUGUGUGUUUGGAGAAGAGGGAAUUUUAUCCCACUCUGUUGUUGACCUGCUCACUAUGUGUUGUAAUUGAUGAGUUUCUGUGCCUGACUACCACACUGGGCUGAGUAGGCAGAGAGUAGAUAUGAAAUAAGGGUUAAGUUGAAUUGGUUUGACCCUAAGAGGGAGACUGGGACCUGGGAGGAAAGAUCUUUGGGAAGAUGUGUGCUGAGACUGGGCUUGGGAGGUAGAACCGAGACCAGACUGAAACCUGGGUACACCCUGGUGUGUACUAAAUUAGUGGAAUGGCAUGGAACUGUGCAAAUAGUUAAAGCUGGAUUGUAGAGAAGUCAUUGUUCCACUUCAAAUGGCCAACUGACCUUGAGAACUGGAGAGGGCACAAUAUGGCAAAGUGCACAGAAGGCUCUGAGCCCACGACAUCGCUUUGAAGGAUACUUUCCUAUCUCUUUACAACCAAAAGCAGAAAGCUACCCUGGCCACUGAAGCCCUCCGUCCAGGGGCUCACUGGAAUUUCUUGACAAGUCUCCAGUAGAAUGGACUUCCUUUCCCUUUCAUAAGCAAGAGUCCAAGAUUCCUUGUCAGGUGUGCAGGGGAAUCAGUCCUUUCUGGAGACCUCUGAAGAGUUUCAUUAACUGGUUUCUCAGUGCCUGGCUUUCAUCAUCUUUUCCACUCUUCAGUUCAGCCACUAGUGUUCAGGACCUGGAAGCAAUAAUUGGAAAUGUUCUAGAAGCAAGCGGGAUGGAAGAGGAAGUCUGUGCAAGGAUGGGGGAGUGAAGAGGAGGACGCGGAGGCUGAAGAGCCACAUGCAGCAGGGAAGCCCACACGGGGCACAGGGGCUUGGGAAUGCCUCGGCACAGGCAGUGGCCUUAGGGGUGAGCCCGAGGCAAAGUCCACCUAAGCAUCCAGCCAAUUGGCUCAGACGGGGACCAGCCUGCUGCUAAUCAUCCACAGACAAGCUUAAUUUUGCUGGGUGUGACCAGAGAUAAAAGAAGUAACAGUCGCAGUCAUUUCAUGGGAGCGGAGUGAUAACACUCUGAAGAGAAACUGUUUAGUUGAAGAAAGAACCCUUAAAAAGAAAAAAAAGGAAAAAAAAAAAAAAAAGCAAAUUCUGAAGCAUGGGUUAACUAUCAAACGUGUACUUGCAGGUCGUCUUGGUUGUAAACCCCCUAACCAACAAAUGGCUUCUGUCAAUAGCAAGGAGCUUGCUGCAAUAACCCUGGAGGAGAGGCAGUCACAGCCUUUAAAUGUGGAAAAGGUUGGUAACCCAGGAGAAAGAGCCAGCAAGACUGAAACCAACCAGUCCUAAACCACAGACAGAAAAAAGUCAACACACCGUUUGUCACCAUGUCACCACCAGCCUUGCUAAAGAGCACUCAUUGAGUGCAUGAGCCCCCAGGUGGCAGCUGAAAUCCUCAGCAAACACGACGCUGUAUUUUAUCACACUGGCAUCCCACCCUAGAGGGCAGCUGGAAGCGGUCUGUCAGGGAAAAUUCAAGAAAGAGAAUCCACAUCUACCCAGGGCUUCUGCUAAACACAGUAUCAGAUGGAGGCACUUGAGAAAUUUAACUUCAUUUGGUGGAGGGAGAGGUGAGUGGGAGGCAGGGGAUAAUGACUGGACAGAGAGAAGGAGGGAGCAAGGAAAGCUUUGAGUAAAUAGUCAAUACUUGGCUGGACUUGUGUGAAGAGAGAUGACUUGGUAGUUUUCCUCCUUGUUCUGUCCUAACUCAUACUCCUAACAACAGAUGGGCUUGAGUCUGUGGAAGGCUGUGUUGCAAAUCCACCCCAUGUAUGGACAAG
rnacentral:lncRNA from 1 species